GGAGGGGGAUCGGUUCCGGUGGACCGCCCGGUCUUCAAAACCGGUGAGGGGCGCAAGGCGUGCCUGGUGGGUUCGACUCCCGCCCCCUUCCGCCA
rnacentral:tRNA from 2 species